UAGGUAUACCUGUUCAGCUGCUCAUUAACACAAAUAUCUAAUCAAGCAAUCACAUGGUAGCAACAAUGCAUUUAAACAUGUCAAGAUGAUCUGCUAAAGUUCAAACAGAGUGUCAGAAUGAGGAAGAAAGGUGAUUUAAGUGACUUUGAAAGUGGCACAGUUGUUAGUGCCAGACGGGCUGGUCUGAGUAUUUCAGAAACUGCUGAUCUACUGCGAUUGGCAGUUCUGUGGGCGAAAAUGCCUUGUUGAUGCCAGAGGUCAGAGGAGAAUGGCCAGACUGGUUCAGCUGAUAGAAAGGCAACAGUAACUCAAAUAACCACUCGAUACAACCGAGGUCUGCAGAAGAAACACAGCAGAAGAAACACCGGGUCAACCGAGAACAGGAAACUGAGGCUACAAUUCACUCAAGUUCAACAAAACUGGACAAUAGAAGAACGAGUCUCAAUUUCUGCUGCUCCAUUCUGAUGGUAGAGUCAGAAUUUGGCAUAAACAACACGAAAGCAUGGAUCUAUCCUGCCUUUUAAGCUGCUGGUGAUGUAAUGUGUACCAUCUUCUGAACGCUACUUCCAGCAGGAUAACGCAAAUCAUCUCAAACUGUUUUUUUGAACAUGACAUUGAGUUCACUAUACUCAAAUGGCCUUCACAGUCACCAGAUCUCAUUCCAAUAGAGCACUUUUGGGAUGUGCUGGAACAAGAGAUCGUCAUCAUGGAUGUGCAUCCAACAAAUCUGCAGCAACUUGUAUGCUAUCAUGACAAUAUGGACCAAAAUCUCUGAGGAAUGUUUCCAGCACCUUGUUGAAUCUAUGACAUGUAAAAUUAAGGCAGUUCUGAAGGCAAAAGGGAGGAAGGUGUACCUAAUAAAGUGGCCGGUGUGUGUGUGUGUGUGUGUGUGUAUUGUUUCUAUUCGAGGAUGGGUUUCGAGUCUUUUGAAAAUUAUAAAAUAAAUAAAAAUGAAAGAAUUUUU